UAGGGAAUAUUGGUAAUCUGGGAAACCGGGAACCAGCAACGCCGCGUGUGCGAUGAAGGCCUUCGGGUUGUAAAGCACUUUUUGAGGGGAUGAGGAAGGACAGUACCCUCAGAAUAAGCCUCGGCUAACUACGUGCCAGCAGCCGCGGUAACACGUAGGAGGCGAGCGUUAUUCGGAUUUACUGGGCGUAAAGCGCGUGCAGGCGGCUCGAUAAGUUGGAUGUGAAAGCUCCCGGCUUAACUGGGAGAGGUCGUUCAAUACUGUCGGGCUAGAGGAUGGUAGAGGGAGGUGGAAUUCCAGGUGUAGCGGUGGAAUGCGCAGAUAUCUGGAGGAACACCAGUGGCGAAGGCGGCCUCCUGGACCAUUCCUGACACUCAGACGCGAAAGCUAGGGUAGCAAACG
rnacentral:rRNA from 1 species